rnacentral:rRNA from 1 species
CCUUACCUGGCCUUGACAUACUAAGAACUUUCCAGAGAUGGAUUGGUGCCUUCGGGAACUUAGAUACAGGUGCUGCAUGGCUGUCGUCAGCUCGUGUCGUGAGAUGUUGGGUUAAGUCCCGCAACGAGCGCAACCCUUUUCCUUAUUUGCCAGCGGGUAAUGCCGGGAACUUUAAGGAUACUGCCAGUGACAAACUGGAGGAAGGCGGGGACGACGUCAAGUCAUCAUGGCCCUUACGGCCAGGGCUACACACGUGCUACAAUGGUCGGUACAAAGGGUUGCUACCUCGCGAGAGGAUGCUAAUCUCAAAAAGCCGAUCGUAGUCCGGAUCGCAGUCUGCAACUCGACUUCGUGAAGUCGGAAUCGCUAGUAAUCGCGGAUCAGAAUGCCGCGGUGAAUACGUUCCCGGGCCUUGUACACACCGCCCGUCACACCAUGGGAGUUUGUUGCACCAGAAGUAGGUAGUCUAACCGCAAGGAGGACGCUUACCACGGUGUGGCCGAUGACUGGGGUGAAGUCGUAACAAGGUAAGCGUAGAUGA